CGUAGGGUGCGAGCGUUAAUCGGAAUUACUGGGCGUAAAGCGUGCGCAGGCGGUGAUGUAAGACAGGUGUGAAAUCCCCGGGCUUAACCUGGGAACUGCAUUUGUGACUGCAUCGCUGGAGUGCGGCAGAGGGGGAUGGAAUUCCGCGUGUAGCAGUGAAAUGCGUAGAUAUGCGGAGGAACACCGAUGGCGAAGGCAAUCCCCUGGGCCUGCACUGACGCUCAUGCACGAAAGCGUGGGGAGCAAACAGGAUUAGAUACCCUGGUAGUCCACGCCCUAAACGAUGUCAACUGGUUGUUGGUCCUUCACUGGAUCAGUAACGAAGCUAACGCGUGAAGUUGACCGCCUGGGGAGUACGGCCGCAAGGUUG
rnacentral:rRNA from 1 species